rnacentral:tRNA from 1 species
CCGUAGCUCAACUGGAUAGAGCGUUGCCCUCCGAAGGCAAAGGUUGUAGGUUCAAAUCCCAUCGGGUG